rnacentral:piRNA from 1 species
UUUCGAACAAAUAGAAAAGUU